UACGUAGGGGGCAAGCGUUGUCCGGAAUUAUUGGGCGUAAAGAGCGCGUAGGCGGUCCGAUAAGUCGGCUGUGAAAGUCAGGGGCUCAACCCUUGAAAGCCGGCCGAUACUGUCGGACUAGAGUCCGGAAGAGGCAAGUGGAAUUCCCGGUGUAGCGGUGAAAUGCGCAGAUAUCGGGAGGAACACCAAUGGCGAAGGCAGCCCCCUGGGUCAAGACUGACGCUCAUGCACGAAAGCGUGGGGAGCAAACAGG
rnacentral:rRNA from 1 species